UCACUCUGGUUUCCCUUCAGAACACGUAUAAAUCUUUCGCCUUUUACUAAAGAUUUCCGUGGAGGGGAACAAUUGAGGAGUCUGUAAAUAAUUUUUUGUCGUGCCCAACGAAAGUUGGGUCA